UGGGGAGAAAAUAACAAUUUAAAUUUAUCCAAACUAUGGCAAGUAAAUUUCCAGGCCAGAUUCAACUUCCCUCAAAAAUUCAAACAAAACACACAAAGCAAUUCGUCAUUAUUCAACUGCAAUCCAACAGAUUGAACCUAAAAAUUAUGGAGAAAAAACUCUCUACUUUAUGGUAGAAAUUUACUUCUCAAGUGGUACUUGACCUGUUAUCAAAAUAUCUCAAGCAGUAGCUACAUGGCUGAUAGUGAUACAGAACUGCAUUUCUACAGUGAGAACAGUGCAAUUGCUCUGCAUCUACUGUCAGCUGUUGCAUAUAAUCCCUUCUGGCAGUUCUGUCCAAAGUAACUACAAGUCAUUUCUUCUUACAAGAGCUCAUUUGUCCAGAGAGUACCAUAAUUAGCUUCAAGAUCUCCACCACCGUCUAAAUGCUUUUAUGCACUUCUAAAGAAACACUUUGCCAGCGCCUUUUCUUGGACAUAAUCUUACAAGAUGGAGGCAAUGAAACCUGGCGAACAGCCUUUCCAAGUUCAUUUAAUUGUAGAAUCUCUCGAAGCUGGCUCAUGAUAUUCUCCAAAAGUUGCAACUGAAUAUUUUCUUUUCCCAUGUGCUCCAUAGAUACAUUGAGCUUCCCUCUACCCUCUUGUACAACCCUUAGCCUUUCCCAUAGCCUUCCAACUUCAUUGUCAAUUCUCAACCUCUCAUAAUCAACUGCAGACAUGGAAUUUCUCUUAAAAACAGAAACCAAGGUUUUUUUUUGCGAGCAACCCACACGUGGCAUUCCACUAGUUAUGUCUGAGUAGCUUCUGCUGAUGCCCUGCUUAGUUUGUGAACUGGUAAUUGCUCGACUAUCACAUGAUUUUGGGAUGUCUAAGUUGGCAUUUACUAACAGUUUUUCAAUUCCAAUUCCUCUGAAUUCACCAGGCAUAUUAAAUUUAUCACCAAUCAUAUAAACAUCAUGAACAUGAGCAUCCAUGUUUACCAUUGCAUUGCAUGAAUCUUGGUCGUGCUUCUCUGAAUCAUCAGAAUUAUACGGAAAACUAUUCUCAGUUUCAUUGCAAGUCUGAAUUGCCUUUGAUGCCAAUCCUUCACUCGUAAUAAUGACAUCACUUUGUUUCUGUACUUCCCCAAGAGGGGCAACAGUUUUCUCAUGCAAAUUAUAUCCUUCUGCAGUUGAUAAGUCAAAUUGUAAUUGGAUAUCUCUUUCCUGAGGAAAUACUUCAUCCAACUUUGGGAUUGGUAACUCUUUCCCAAAGACUAGAGUAUGAUCCACAUUUUCCUUCUCACAAAUGGAUUCACCAAUUCUCUGCAGCAUCUGCAACGGAUCCUCACCUGAAUAUUGCAACGAAUAAGCCCCUUUUCCGUGUGAGGUUCCUGUGCCUUGUGGAUCAUAAUGCACACAAUGCAGCUGCUUACUUCCAAAAAUCACUUGUCUGUAGGUUUCAACUUCCUUUUCCAAGACAUACUUUUCCCUUUCCCUCCUUAGUAGGAUCUCUUUAAGAAUGUUCAUUUCUUCAAAAUCAUAAGCAGAUUUUGCUUCUAUCAUCCUCUGGUGUUGCCUAGCUUCCAUUUCGAUUGAUGCCUUCUCCUCUUGUAGACGCAGAAUCAUUGCCAUGGCCUCCUCUGCGGCAGUAGCAGCAGAACUCCUCUCUUUCUCAAGUUCAAGGUACAAAGCAGCACGAGCUGCAUGCUCUGCUGCAAGUGCUUGUUCCAAUACUCUAAUUGCAUUGUUUUCAUCAGGACCAAAGGGAAGCUCCCCUUGUGCAUUAAAUUUCAACUCAUCUUCAGGUGAUGUAACCUUCUCCGUUGGUUUAAUUUCAUUUAUAGGUUCAUUUGAUUCAAAAUCAGGGGACUUUCUCCCCAACAAACGCAAUUCCACUGAAGAGUCCCUGCCAUCUAAAAUCACAUAAUCAUGCACAUUAGAAGCAGCAUCAACUAUGCAGAAGUAACAUUAGCAUAUGCAUACCAUGUUCAAAACAUUUUUUCUUAAAGACAUGCAGGGCUUAUGCAAAGUCAAACUCAAAUUUGGAUGCUUUCACUUAAAAAUGUGCAGUCCAUCCAGGGAAGAUACAAAGUUCUUCCUCUGCUGAUGCUGACAUAUAAAAUGGGAAGACUAGGGCAAUUACAAAGCUAGAUAUGUUACUUCUGUUCUAUAUUUCAACGUAAUAUUAUAAUUCUCAUUCAGUACCUCUUCAUAACAUAUGGACCAUCUAAAAACAUAAUAUUUGGACCUUCUCAUGAGCAUUGUAAAAAGAAAAAGAAUCCAAACAAACAAAAUUACGAUGCUGUAAAACCAUCUAACUCUAAUUCUCAGAACAUAAAACACAAAGUAUCUGCUCAAAGUGGUAGAAACAUUAAAUGUAAAAUUAAAAUAUCAGAACCAUGCCAAAUUGCCAAUUCAUAUUAGAAAAAAGAUUCUAUAGAAAUAGAAAAUAUUAAUGCCAAACUACUCUUCACACUCACAAUUUAGGAUAUUACCACCAGAACUAUCAGGUACCAUGCUGCCUUCAUCACUCGCAUUCAUCAUUUUACUGGCACUGGCAGGAGACUGACGAAGAGCUUGUGCAUCCCACCUAAAAGGAUCGUAUGAUGAAGAAGAAGAUGACCUCCCAAUUUCAGUAGAACCUUUCCUACGACGCCCAAGAGCAAGUCUAACCUUCUGACUCAAACACCCCUUCUCCUUAUCAAACCUCUCUUUCACAUCCCUUGCAUACAUUACACUACUCCCAACAAACACUUCUUCACUCCUCUCAUGAAAUGAGCCAGACGAUGCUUCAUCAUCUAAUCCAAAAAUUGUAUUUUCACAAUUUGUCUGAUACAGGUUUUUGUCCCAUAUUGAAUCAAAAGGGAACUUGCUCUUAACAGAGAAUUGAACAGAUGAUAUCUUCUCUGAUUGACAGUCUACAAGAGCUGUUUGCCAACAAUUAUCACUAUUGGGGUCACCAAAAAGUCCAUUGCAAGGGCAUGGCAGAGACAAUCCAAACAUACCCAGAAAUUUUGAGGCAGAAUAAGCGAGAGUUGAUGCACAGAGGAGAAGAUACGCAAUGGAGAGAUCAAGAAAUGCACCCACUAGCCUACUAAGCGUCCACGAUUGUAUCUCAUGACACGGCAUUUUUCCAGAAAACAAUUCUUCAGUAACCCAGCCCAGCUGACUAAUCAAACUAACCAGUUUCCCGUCCGAUUGAGAGAAAACGAGAUACUAUUUGAGUGGACUUAAUUAUGAAUCAUCGGCCUACGAGAGUUGCAAUGAAAUUUCAUUCCAUAGAAAUGGACGAAGCUGCUCUCUUUCCAAAGAAAGAAAUGUUAAUUGUGUAAUUCAAACCUCUCUAUAUUCCCGAGAUGGAUACGACACCAUUGGCUGCUUCCCACAGACUUAUAACGUGGUCAAGAUCCGUCAAUUCACGCGCCAUUUGUCCGUUCCCCAUUUUUAAGGAUACUGAGAGAGAGAGAGAGUAGGAUUGAUUAUUGCGCAACUUCCGUUACAGUGGG
rnacentral:misc_RNA from 1 species